UACGAAGGUCCCAAGCGUUAUCCGGAUUUAUUGGGUUUAAAGGGUGCGUAGGUGGUCAGGUAAGUCAGUGGUGAAAUCUCCAAGCUUAACUUGGAAACUGCCGUUGAUACUAUCUGUCUUGAAUAUUGUGGAGGUGAGCGGAAUAUGUCAUGUAGCGGUGAAAUGCUUAGAUAUGACAUAGAACACCAAUUGCGAAGGCAGCUCACUACUCAAUCAUUGACUCUGAGGCACGAAAGCGUGGAGAUCAAACAGG
rnacentral:rRNA from 1 species